UGUGAUCCAUUCGGAUCCAUUCACCAUGCUAUGUCAUGCUCUGGUGAUCGGAACGCAGAAGUCACGUGACGGAGCACAGCAACAGUAACCAGUUUUUCAGCUCAGUUCAGUUCGUGCUCGUAGUUACAGAUAGAAAGACGAGCUCUGAAUCACUCGGCACUACGUCACAUCUCCUGCUGUGCCUGUGUGAGGAGUGAGAAUUGCAUGAUGGGAAAUAACAUGUCAGGACAUGGGCAAAAUCCGUUGUCAGAGACAGCAGCAGGUGCAGUACUGAGCUUUACGUGCACAGGAACUGAUCUGAACUCGGAUCAUCCUGCUUACGUCAACAUCUUAACUAAUAAAAGACUGCAGGCCCUGAUCACAGAAUUUCAACACCCUGACUGUAACCAGUGGAGUAUCCAAAGAUUAGAAGAAUUUUAGCACCCAGCAGAGCAACUUGUUAACAAAACAAGCUUUUCUUAUCUUUCAAUCUUGUCUUUCAAUCUGUUGUGUUUACGUGACCUCAGUAUUCUAAAGAUGAGCAACAUGAUGAUUUCAAGACAAGAAGCUCAACAAAGCACACAGUCAUGAAGGAAUCAUGAAUUGCACUUGCUACAUCAUUAUUUAUUCUGCAUCAUUAUUUAUCCUCUUUUAUGUUUCUGUUUACAUUAGGAACAUCCCAGUUCCUCGAGGAUUUUGCGAUCACAGAAGUGAAAGCAAAAUCAAGCAAACCCCUCUUUGAUUUACAUGCGUUGAACAUGAAUACAGCUAAAAUGUCUCGUUUACCAACAAACAUCGCUGUGAAAGACCAUACAAAACAAUUUCGUGCAAUCACAAGUUUACCAAUGCAAGUAGUUUUCUGCAAAAAAAAAAAAAAACACAAAAAACUCACAGCAUUUUUGGCUGUAACGCAUCACAAAAAAACUUCACAUAAAAAUCCUGUAUGGACUGAACAUACACCAUGAAUGAAGAUCUCAGUCUAAGAUUUUUUAUAGUGAAAAUUUGUGAGUUUUUUUGUUGUUGUUGUUGUUGUUGUUGUUGUUGUUGUUGUUGUUGUUAUUAUUUUAUUUUUUUCAGUGACAUGCCGUUUUUUCACUUUGAUUAACAUUUUCCUACAUUACCCACAAUACUGUUUCACUCCCUGGUGAUAGUGGUGCAGUGAGAUUUAGCCCUCAUGUCAUCUCUAGCUGAAGAGAGCGAUGCAGCAGCUCUUUAGUCCUUUUGUCUGUCUAGCUGUCUCUCUUGUGUACAAGAGAGUGUGUGUGUUUCAGGGUGGAGGUUUCCUUUAAACGAUGGCCAGAGAGCCAUUUAUGAAUCCUUGAGCAAAAAAACUUAGCUACUCUGAACUGCUCAGCUGUGUGAAUUGUAUCUCAACCUGUCAAAUAAAUAAAUCUGUUGUUAAGAGAGAGAGAUUAGUAGAUCAGUCAUAAAAUGAAAACCGUUUUAAAUACUUGGUGUUCUUUUGAUGAACGUGCCUUCAAAUACAGCAGAAAGGUCUGAUCUUUUCUCUUUUAUAAUUAUAUUUUUUAUUUUAUUUUUUUAUACAUGUCUAUGGCUGUAAAUGUAAGCAUUACUGAUAACUCUGCACUUUCCUCAUGAUGUGAAACAUUUUCUGUUUUGCAUAAUUAUUAUGAGAAAUGUACUUAAUGUGAAUUACAUUGUAAUUGUUUUAGAAUAAUUUCCUUUCAGACAAUAUUUUUGAAAUCUGUCAAUAAAUCCUUUCAGCAUCUUGGA